rnacentral:rRNA from 1 species
CAGCCGCCGCGGUAAAACGGAGGGUGCAAGCGUUAAUCGGAAUUACUGGGCGUAAAGCGUGCGUAGGCGGUUCGUUAAGUCUGUUGUGAAAGCCCCGGGCUCAACCUGGGAAUGGCAAUGGAUACUGGCGAGCUAGAGUGUGUCAGAGGAUGGUGGAAUUCCCGGUGUAGCGGUGAAAUGCGUAGAGAUCGGGAGGAACAUCAGUGGCGAAGGCGGCCAUCUGGGACAACACUGACGCUGAGGCACGAAAGCGUGGGGAGCAAACAGGAUUAGAUACCCGCGUAGUCCCUGUCUCUUAUAC